GUACACUGUGGUUCAGUUGGCAGAACGUGGCACUUGCAAUGCCAGGGUUGUGGGUUUCAUAUCCGUUGGGGACC